UACGACUACAUAUCAGGCAUAUCAAUAAGCGGAGGAAAAGAAACUAACUAGGAUUCCCUUAGUAACGGCGAGUGAAGCGGGAAGAGCUCAAAUUUGAAAUCUUCAAGGUUUUACCUUGACGAAUUGUAGUUUAAAGAAGUGUUUUCUGUUGAAGUUUUGGUAAAAGUUCUUUGGAAUAGGACAUCAUAGAGGGUGAGAAUCCCGUAUUUGACCAUUAUUUCAGCUGUGUGAUACACUUUCAAAGAGUCGGAUUGUUUGGGAAUGCAGUCCAAAAUGGGUGGUAAAUUUCAUCUAAAGCUAAAUAUUGGCGAGAGACCGAUAGCGAACAAGUACCGUGAGGGAAAGAUGAAAAGAACUUUGAAAAGAGAGUUAAACAGUACGUGAAAUUGUCAAAAGGGAAGCGUUUGACACCAGUGUUGUUUUCUCGAAAAUCAAUUAAAAAAGGUGGGAUUUUGUGUUGUAUUGACCUUAUCAGCUUUCUGCACUCUUUUCCUGUCUUUUUCUAAUGCACUUUUCGUUUAACAAGUCAACAUCAAUUUCUUUUGUUGUAAAAGGGUCAUUGGAAGGUGGCUUUCUCUUCGGAGAAAGUGUUUAUAGCCUUUGAUCUCUGCAAUCGGAGAGACUGAGGUCUGCAGCGUAGAUCCUUCGGGGUUAGAUACAUUUGUGCUAAGCUACAGCUUUUCAUAGACAACUUGUUGACUAUGUUUAGUCUUGUGACUUACCCGCUUAUGCUAUUUUACCUACGCUUAGGAUGUUGAGCGCAUGUCUCUCUCU
rnacentral:rRNA from 1 species